rnacentral:rRNA from 1 species
CAGUCGCCGCGGUAAUACAGAGGGUGCGAGCGUUAAUCGGAUUUACUGGGCGUAAAGUGUGCGUAGGCGGCUUCUUAAGUCGGAUGUGAAAUCCCUGAGCUUAACUUAGGAAUUGCAUUCGAUACUGGGAAGCUAGAGUAUGGGAGAGGAUGGUAGAAUUCCAGGUGUAGCGGUGAAAUGCGUAGAGAUCUGGAGGAAUACCGAUGGCGAAGGCAGCCAUCUGGCCUAAUACUGACGCUGAGGUACGAAAGCAUGGGGAGCAAACAGGAUUAGAUACCCCUGUAGUCCCUGUCUCUUAUAC